UGCAAAGCUCUCCCACCAUUUGGUACUGCUGUCACAGUGUCCAGCCUUGCUCAUCACAGAUUCUGAAGGCAGAGCAGUGAAAAGCACUUAACAUAACAAAAGUUACUGUGACUUGAAACCUGACUACUUAUCUUCUGAACAGAAAUAACGUCACUACAUUCAAUGAAUCAAAAAGCAAGAUGACCUUAACCAAAAUAUUUAAGGAGAAUUUAGGGAAGUGAAACAACUCAAGGCAAAGAAGAAGGCAAGGAAUGCAUUUGCUGGAAACUGCUUUUCUGACUUCAAAAAAGAAAGAAAGAAAAAAAAUAAUAGCAGUUCUAAAGCUACAGAGGCACAUAGGAACCACCACUACUGAAAAUUAACAAUGAAGUUGUGGGAGUCACUUCAAGAUGAUGAGAAAAGACAGCAUUGCCAGUGCUGCCAAAGAGCAGUAAAGAACUCAGAGGGAACAAUACUACUGAUGAGAAGAGAUGCAAAAUCCUAAGGGUUUAUUUUCAGGGCUCCAGUCCAUGGUCUGUAGUCAUUUGAAACUGAUUUAUUUCAGGAAUCACAAGGUUCAGUUAGAUUUUUUUCAAACUUCCGUGAAGGACAUUAACAAUCCAAAUCUGAAAAUAAAGC